rnacentral:rRNA from 1 species
UACGGGGGGGGCAAACGUUGCUCGGAAUCACUGGGCGUAAAGGGCGCGUAGGCGGGGAUGUAAGUCGGGCGUGAAAUCCCCAGGCUCAACCUGGGAACUGCACUCGAAACUGCGUUUCUUGAGUAUCGGAGAGGAAAGCGGAAUUCCUGGUGUAGAGGUGAAAUUCGUAGAUAUCGGGAGGAACACCGGUGGCGAAGGCGGCGACCUGGGUCGACACUGACGCUGAGGCGCGAAAGCGUGGGGAGCAAACAGG